rnacentral:rRNA from 1 species
UAGGGAAUCUUCCACAAUGGGCGCAAGCCUGAUGGAGCAACACCGCGUGAGUGAAGAAGGGUUUCGGCUCGUAAAGCUCUGUUGUUGGAGAAGAACGUGCGUGAGAGUAACUGUUCACGCAGUGACGGUAUCCAACCAGAAAGUCACGGCUAACUACGUGCCAGCAGCCGCGGUAAUACGUAGGUGGCAAGCGUUAUCCGGAUUUAUUGGGCGUAAAGCGAGCGCAGGCGGUUGCUUAGGUCUGAUGUGAAAGCCUUCGGCUUAACCGAAGAAGGGCAUCGGAAACCGGGCGACUUGAGUGCAGAAGAGGACAGUGGAACUCCAUGUGUAGCGGUGGAAUGCGUAGAUAUAUGGAAGAACACCAGUGGCGAAGGCGGCUGUCUGGUCUGCAACUGACGCUGAGGCUCGAAAGCAUGGGUAGCGAACAGGAUUAGAUACCCUGGUAGUCCAUGCUGUAAACGAUGAGUGCUAGGUGUUGGAGGGUUUCCGCCCUUCAGUGCCGGAGCUAACGCAUUAAGCACUCCGCCUGGGGAGUACGACCGCAAGGUUG